UGGGGAAUCUUCCGCAAUGGACGAAAGUCUGACGGACCAACGCCGCGUGAGUGAAGACGGCCUUCGGGUUGUAAAGCUCUGUGAUCCGGGACGAAAGAGCCUGAGGUAAAUAGCCUAAGGAAGUGACGGUACCGGAAAAGCAAGCCACGGCUAACUACGUGCCAGCAGCCGCGGUAAUACGUAGGUGGCAAGCGUUGUCCGGAAUUAUUGGGCGUAAAGCGCGCGCAGGCGGCUUACUAAGUCCAUCUUAAAAGUGCGGGGCUUAACCCCGUGGUAGGAUGGAAACUGGAAAGCUGGAGUGUCGGAGAGGAAAGUGGAAUUACUAGUGGAGCGGUGAAAUGCGGAGAGAUUAAGAAGAACACCGGUGGCGAAGGCGACUUUCUGGACGAAAACUGACGCUGAGGCGCGAAAGCGUGGGGAGCAAACAGG
rnacentral:rRNA from 1 species